ensembl:lncRNA
AAACAAUAAUACUUUUCUUUUUGCUAACAUACCUUGAGACCAAUGCUGCUGCUUAUGUCUUUUUCCAGAAGACUUGAGUUAGCUAGGUAUGGCUAAAGAAUAGAAAAUGGUGUCUUCCAAAGAUGUCUGGUGGCACAAAUCCAGGAGAUCUUGGUCUGAGAUGAAGUACACAGUUGUUUCACCACAGUGUCACUGAACUGAUGUGGUUACGCAAUGACAAGACAGAGUAGAGCUUCUCUUUUUAUGAGGGGUUGAGGUCACCUUCCUCACCCUGCUCCUGUGAGCAAUACACAGAAUUAGAAACCAGAAAAACUGUCCUUGAAUUAUUAAGGAAGGGAUUGGAGAGUCAAAGACGGGUGGAGGAAAUAUGGAUUAUGUGAACAACAUCCCUGUAGUGAUCCAAAGCUGACUGAUAUUGAGAGGUUUUCUACUGAUUCCAACUGCAUUUACCAAAUCUUUCAUAUCACUGGCAAACACAGAUGCCUUCAAACACUGGAAGGAGCUCUGUGUGCUAGAAGACGAUUUCAUGUCAAGGUAGGGGUGAAUUCACAGGCUGUGCUGGCAUCAGGUCCAGUCAGAAGGUUUGGCUUUGU